rnacentral:lncRNA from 1 species
CCAGAGAUUAUCAUGAAGGCACUGUUUCUCAUUCCAACCCGAAGGACCCCUUGAAAGCAGAGCGGACAAAUAUGGACUCUGAAUGGAGCACUGCAUUAGGGAAGGGGUGGCAGGAAGCAGAAGAGUCGAAGUGCUAUAUUGACUCUUGAACAUCUCCACUUUUCUCCAAGAACAGAGGUGCAGGGUCCAGACUUCAAGACAUUCACAGUUUGGGAGGCAGUCCGAAAUAACCACCGUGGAGCACUCAUCACAGUGGCACUCAGAAAGGCUCCAGCCCUCAUAAAGGGAAAAGAGGAGAAGUUUACCAAAAGCCUUCCCAUCCUUACCGGUCUUCUGGAUGUGCCUGGAUCUGCCCACAAGUUAGAAGGCAGGACUCUUUCUGUGGUUGUGUUGGAAGCCCAGACCACCUCUCUAUAGCCCAAGAGCAUAAUUCUAAAGAAGGCAGCACCAUUCCGGGGAAGCCUGGCACACAGGAGAUAACACACUAGGCUGUGCCCGCAAGGAUGCCAGCUCUGUCCAGCCACAGCCCACCACAGGGUGAGCCACUUAGAAGAUAUGGCACACUUUAUUAAAGACAGG